CGGGUGUGCACGCAUGUUUGAGCGUGUGUGGACGUGAGUGUAUCUGUGCAUGUGUGCGAGCAUGUGCGUGUGUGUGCACGUGUGCAUGUGUGGAGUCUAUGAAUGUGUGUGUGUGAGCAUGUGUACACACGUGUGAAUGGAUGCAUAUGGGCAUACGUGAAUGUGGACUGUAUGGAUGUGUGGCAUGCGGGUGUGGGCGUGUGUGUGUGACGGUGUGGACUGUACAGAUAUGUGACGGUGUGGACUGUAUAGAUGUGUGUGUGUGUGUGACGGUGUAGACCAUAUAGAUGUGUGUGUGCAUGUGAUGGUGUGGACUGUAGAGAUGUGUAUGUGUGUGUGUAUGACAGUGUGGACUGUAUGGAUGUGUGACGGUGUGGACUGUAUAGAUGUGUGUGUGUUUGUAUGACGGUGUGGACUGUACGGAUGUGUGACGGUGUGGACUGUAUAGAUGUGUGUGUGUUUGUAUGACGGUGUGGACUGUACGGAUGUGUGACAGUGUGGACUGUAUAGAUGUGUGUGUGUAUGACGGUGUGGACUGUAUGGAUGUGUGAAGGUGUGGACUGUACAGAUGUGUGUGUGUGUGUGUGAGACGGUGUGGACUGUAUGGAUGUGUGCGGGUGUGUGUGUGAGACGGUGUGGACUGUAUGGAUGUGUGCGGGUGUGUGUGUGAUGGUGUGGACUGUAUGGAUGUGUGCGGGUGUGUGUGAUGGUAUGGACUGUAUGGAUGUGUGUGGGUGUGUGUGUGUGAUGGUGUGGACUG
rnacentral:lncRNA from 1 species